rnacentral:rRNA from 1 species
CCUACGGGCGGCAGCAGUGGGGAAUAUUGCACAAUGGGGGAAACCCUGAUGCAGCGACGCCGCGUGAGUGAAGAAGUAUUUCGGUACGUAAAGCUCUAUCAGCAGGGAAGAAAAACCGGCCUUAGGGCCGCCAGACGGUACCUGACUAAGAAGCCCCGGCUAACUACGUGCCAGCAGCCGCGGUAAUACGUAGGGGGCAAGCGUUAUCCGGAUUUACUGGGUGUAAAGGGAGCGUAGACGGCAGCGCAAGUCUGAAGUGAAAGGCCGUGGCUCAACCGCGGAACCGCUUUGGAAACUGCGAGGCUGGAGUGCUGGAGAGGUAAGCGGAAUUCCUGGUGUAGCGGUGAAAUGCGUAGAUAUCAGGAGGAACACCGGUGGCGAAGGCGGCUUACUGGACAGUGACUGACGUUGAGGCUCGAAAGCGUGGGGAGCGAACAGGAUUAGAUACCCGGGUAGUC